CUGCCCUAACCCCUGGCCACGCUGCCCCACAAGGACUGUGCGAUGAACAUGGAGUUUCCUGAGUGCCUCCUGCUCCCAGCUGGGCACCCCCUUGGCAGGAGCUCGGCUGCCUGCGCUGGAACCGGGAACACAAGAAUCCCCAUCCUCCUGGCCUGGCUUUGGGCUUCCAUGACAGGAUUCUCCAUAGCAGACUCGGGUUUCUCAGAACUGGAUCAGCUCCGACUGGUGAAUGGCCGCAAUCGCUGCGCUGGGAGAGUUGAGGUGUUUCACGACGAGCAGUGGGGAACCGUGUGUGAUGACAGCUGGGACUUAGAGGAUGCUGGAGUCGUGUGCAGGCAGCUGGGCUGUGGGACGGCAUUAUCAGCCCCAGAUGAGGCUCACUUUGGGCAAGGAUCUGACCCCAUCUGGCUGGAUGACGUCAACUGCGCAGGGACAGAAGCUACCCUCUCCGAUUGCAGGGAUCGGCCUUGGGGAACCCAUGACUGUACCCAUGGAGAAGAUGCCGGUGUUGUGUGCUCAGACGCUGGCAUCUCAGAAGUAGCUCCGCUCCGACUGGUGAAUGGUUCAAGUCGCUGUGCUGGGAGAGUUGAGGUGCUUCGCAACCAGCAGUGGGGAACCGUGUGUGACGACAACUGGGAUAUGACUGAUGCUGAAGUCGUGUGCAAGCAGCUGGGCUGUGGGACGGCGUUAUCAGCCCCAGACGAGGCUCACUUUGGGCUAGGAUCUGACCUCAUCUGGCUGGAUGACGUCAACUGCGCAGGGACAGAAGCUGCUCUCUCCGAUUGCAGGGAUCGGCCUUGGGGAACCCAUGACUGUAACCACGGAGAAGAUGCUGGUGUUGUGUGCUCAGGACUGGAAAACAAUACAAUAUUGGCAAUUACAAUUCCUGUUUCGGUGGGUGUGAUUUUGGCUCUUGUUCUGCCCCUGGUGUGUUACCUUAAGAAGAAGAAGAAAGUUGUAACUAAUAGGAGAAAAGAAAGGUUGCAAAACCUCUAUGGGAGGAACAAUAAUCCCACUGAAGAUCAGUACACAGAUAACAAAGGGGUUGCAUGUUCCCAUGGCAUGGGCAAAGAAGCCCCGGAGCCGAUCUAUGAAAAUUUUGUUCUAGAGGAUGUGCCUUGUUCUACACAUCACUCCGAACAGAAGUGUGAAUCUGCCUUUCCACUAUAUGUGAACGGCGUGUACAGGCCAUGAGAGGUGCAGGAUGUUGGAAGAUAAGCAUCUCAGUUUAGCUUUUUCAAAGAUUGAUUUCAAUGUGUCAGAGCCAGCAGAAGAGGGAAGAAGAGGACACUCAGGCACUGAAGGAACAUUUCAGAAAUUUGGAAAUAUGAAGAAUUUUUGGUUUUUGAAGAGAGAAAUAAAGAGCAACAUGAGUUUAACCUACCUGAGUUCUUAACUGGGAAUGAGGAUGUGUGUCAAUUUCAGACUAGUUCCUCCUGUGCAAAGGGAAAAUACAGUGGCGUCCCUUUCUGGCUCACACAGACAGCAGAGAAGCGGAGACGCUAGAGCACAGCGACUGUGGCUUUCUGUCUAUUUUAGUGCAAAGGAACAGAAACAACCACUCAGCUGAGAGCAGCCGCCACUUAUCUGCUGCUUGACCACAGCAAGAGAACAGGGAGAGCAGAUGGGGACUGCAGCUUCCCUUUUACUGAGACCAGAAUGAGCAGAGAUGGUCUGGGAACAGGGCGCCCGAUUUUCUGAUAUCCUGAUCCUUGUGCCGUCAUUUGCACCAGUAAAAAGUGAGUGUGAAACAUUACCAUCCUCUUUUAGCAGCCCUUUGCCCUGAUGCAAAUACCGCAGCAGGUGCAGGGCAACAACGAUUCAGACCUGGAGAGCCACUGCAGCUCAUCCCCUAUCACUGGAGAGAGCAUCUAAACCUCAAGGAGCAAAGCAGAACACAGCAGCGACCAGCUGUGGCUUCCCGUCGGCCUGAAUCCUGCAGAGAAGAAGGUGACCCACAGCACCAAGUCACUGCAGUUCCUGGGCUGUGAGGAGCAGCAGACAGAGAGGAGACUGGAGAACAGAGCUAGUCCUUUGUCUGAGAUCCAAGGACUUGGAGGAGAUUCAGAGAAGAUCGCUUUGUUCUUGGGGAGCAGAAGCCACUGCAGAAUUUGAAGGCAGUUGAAUAAAUGCUGAUCCCACCAAUGAUUCUUGCACUGUACCUGUGGCUUGUUUGGAGACAGUUCCUGGAAUGCCCCAGCAAGGAUUCUCCAGCCUCAUCCACCAACCUAACUGAAUUGGCACCUUAUGGAAAUUCUGCAGCUAUGAAUCAUUUUUCAGAUGAAAGGGAAAAUGAUGCUGUUUUUCCCUAAAGUAACUUUAUUUUUUCUCCCAAAGCUUUGAGUUUUACAUCCCAGCAGCAGCCGGCCUCCAACUGCAUUUCCUCAUCAGGUUUUGGUCUCUAAUGUGGCUUCUCUGAGAACACUGGCACAGGGCUCAGCUCUUGCAAACUCUUUCGAUUUGUUUUCCUUUUUGUGCAUCAGCUUUUUUUUUUCCCUUUGGGAACAUAUUACAGCCCGAGUGACUGAUCUGCUUCAGAAGACCAGCAGCUCAGCUCCCCAAAGAACAGAAAUCUGCUCCCUAGCAUCCAGUAACUCAUGUCAGUCAACCAAUAGCUAUGACUUUUUUGGAGCAAAUGGCACAUGAAAAACACAGAAUUUAAGGUAGAUGAGAAUGUCCAUAUUUCAUAUUUAGCAUUAUAUCAAACUAUUUAAUGCAGUGGAGCCUGGACUUGGAGCUGGGCUCUAAUUCUGGCUGUGCAGUCGGGGUGACCUUGGACAAGUCACGGUCCCACUCUGUGACUUGGUUUCCCCAUCUGUAAGCUGUGGAGGAUGACAUGGACCUCCUUUGUAAAGCACUUGGUGAUCUAAGGAGGAAAAGCACUGGGUACAAGCCAACUAUUUUUACUACUGAUGGCUGGAUGCUGCCUCCUCACUACUAACGAGUAGUUCCCUACUCCAUGAGUGGUUGCCUUGAAAUCAGUGGGACUUCUUCAGAUAAGAUGCUAUGAAAUGGGUGACAUUCACUCCUCUGUAGCUCAAGGCCUAUAUUUCACUUAUACAGGGGGUAAGAGGCACAUACGCAGUGCAUAAGCCUUGUGGGAAGGGGUGAAUUUCAUCCCAUGUAAAUAAGGGCUGAACCAUCCACCCUAUAGUCUCUCUCUCCAGUACACAGUAGCUUGCAAACAUGUGCUUUCAUGUCCCUUCAUAUAUACUCCAGAGUUGAUGAUUUGGCCACUUUCCUUCUUUGAAGGAGGCUGCUCUCUUUGGGCUAAUAUAGAUGUGAUGCUACACGUUACAAACUGCCAUGCACUGUGUGAUGCUGGAGAAAUGUCUUCAUAGACAGGGCCUGCCCACAACAUUUUGGCACCUGAGGUGGGGAGCUCAAAUGACGCACCUAUUCCCCCUCGCUUGGGCUAAAACUUUGAAAGGUCUCAAUUCUGCCUUCUUCCUGUUCUACUCCUCUCAUGGUACUGCUCUGCUACCUACCCCAAUAAAGGAGAACUAACAACUUA